rnacentral:rRNA from 1 species
UACAGAGGUCCCAAGCGUUGUUCGGAUUCACUGGGCGUAAAGGGCUCGUAGGCGGCCAACUAAGUCAGACGUGAAAUCCCUCGGCUUAACCGGGGAACUGCGUCUGAUACUGGAUGGCUUGAGAUUGGGAGAGGGAUGCGGAAUUCCAGGUGUAGCGGUGAAAUGCGUAGAUAUCUGGAGGAACACCGGUGGCGAAGGCGACAUCCUGGACCAACACUGACGCUGAGGAGCGAAAGCCAGGGGAGCAAACGGG